GAUGAACGCUAGCGGGAGGCUUAACACAUGCAAGUCGAGGGGCAGCAUAGAGUAGCAAUACUUUGAUGGCGACCGGCGCACGGGUGAGUAACACGUAUGUAACCUACCCUGUACAGGGGGAUAGCCCGGAGAAAUUCGGAUUAAUACCCCAUAAAGAUAUUAGAAGGCAUCUUCAUAUAUCUAAAGCUACGGCGGUAUAGGAUGGGCAUGCGUAACAUUAGCUAGUUGGUAGGGUAACGGCCUACCAAGGCUACGAUGUUUAGGGGACCUGAGAGGGUGACUCCCCCACACUGGUACUGAGACACGGACCAGACUCCGUACGGGAGGCUG
rnacentral:rRNA from 1 species